CCGAAAGGCGUAGACGAUGGGAACCAGGUUAAUAUUCCUGGGCCAGGAAGAUGUGACGGAUCGUGAAGGUUGUUCACCCUUAUUGGAUUGGGUGGGCCGCUAAUCGGUUCCUGGAAAUAGCCUUCCAUAAGAUCGUACCCUAAACCGACACAGGUGGACUGGUAGAGAAUACCAAGGCGCUUGAGAGAACUAUAUUGAAGGAACUCGGCAAAAUACCUCCGUAAGUUCGCGAGAAGGAGGCCCAGUUUCUACGCAAGUAUUGACUGGGGGCACAAACUAGGGGGUGGCGACUGUUUACUAAAAACACAGGGCUCUGCGAAGUCGCAAGACGACGUAUAGGGUCUGACGCCUGCCCGGUGCCUGAAGGUUAAAAGGAGGUGUGAGAGCACCGAAUUGAAGCCCAGGUAAACGGCGGCCGUAACUAUAACGGUCCUAAGGUAGCGAAAUUCCUUGUCGGGUAAGUUCCGACCUGCACGAAUGGCGUAACGACUUCCCCACUGUCUCCAAUAUAGACUCAGCGAAAUUGAAUUGCCUGUCAAGAUGCAGGCUUCCCGCGGUUAGACGGAAAGACCCCGUGCACCUUUACUACAACUUCGCACUGGCAUCAGGCAUAACAUGUGCAGGAUAGGUGGUGGGCUUUGAAGCAGUAACGCCAGUUAUUGUGGAGCCUCCCUUGAGAUACCACCCUUGUUCUGCUUGAUGUCUAACUGCGGUCCAUUAUCUGGAUCCAGGACCCUGCGUGGUGGGUAGUUUGACUGGGGCGGUCGCCUCCUAAAGAGUAACGGAGGCGCGCGAAGGUUGGCUCAGAGCGGUCGGACAUCGCUCGUUGAGUGCAAUGGCAGAAGCCAGCCUGACUGCGAGACUGACAAGUCGAGCAGAGUCGAAAGACGGCCAUAGUGAUCCGGUGGUCCCGCGUGGAAGGGCCAUCGCUCAACGGAUAAAAGGUACGCCGGGGAUAACAGGCUGAUACUGCCCAAGAGUCCAUAUCGACGGCAGUGUUUGGCACCUCGAUGUCGGCUCAUCUCAUCCUGGGGCUGGAGCAGGUCCCAAGGGUACGGCUGUUCGCCGUUUAAAGAGGUACGUGAGCUGGGUUUAGAACGUCGUGAGACAGUUCGGUCCCUAUCUGCCGUGGGUGUAGGAUACUUGAGAGGAGUUGCCCCUAGUACGAGAGGACCGGGGUGAACGAUCCACUGGUGGACCUGUUGUUGCGCCAGCAGCAGUGCAGGGUAGCUAUGAUCGGACAGGAUAACCGCUGAAGGCAUCUAAGCGGGAAGCCCCCCUCAAAACAAGGUAUCCCUGAGAGCCGUGGAAGACCACCACGUCGAUAGGCCGGAGAUGUAAGCAUGGUAACAUGUUCAGUUGACCGGUACUAAUGGCUCGAUAGGCUUGGUUUG
rnacentral:rRNA from 1 species